rnacentral:rRNA from 1 species
UGGGGAAUAUUGGACAAUGGGCGCAAGCCUGAUCCAGCCAUGCCGCGUGAGUGAUGAAGGCCUUAGGGUUGUAAAGCUCUUUCGCACGCGACGAUAAUGACGGUAGCGUGAGAAGAAGCCCCGGCUAACUUCGUGCCAGCAGCCGCGGUAAUACGAAGGGGGCUAGCGUUGCUCGGAAUCACUGGGCGUAAAGCGCACGUAGGCGGAUUUUUAAGUCAGGGGUGAAAUCCCAAGGCUCAACCUUGGAACUGCCUUUGAUACUGGGGAUCUCGAGUCCGGAAGAGGUUGGUGGAACUGCGAGUGUAGAGGUGAAAUUCGUAGAUAUUCGCAAGAACACCAGUGGCGAAGGCGGCCAACUGGUCCGGAACUGACGCUGAGGUGCGAAAGCGUGGGGAGCAAACA